UAGGGAAUCUUCCACAAUGGACGCAAGUCUGAUGGAGCAACGCCGCGUGAGUGAAGAAGGUUUUCGGACCGUAAAGCUCUGUUGUUGGUGAAGAAGGAUAGAGGUAGUAACUGGCCUUUAUUUGACGGUAAUCAACCAGAAAGUCACGGCUAACUACGUGCCAGCAGCCGCGGUAAUACGUAGGUGGCAAGCGUUGUCCGGAUUUAUUGGGCGUAAAGCGAGCGCAGGCGGAAGAAUAAGUCUGAUGUGAAAGCCCUCGGCUUAACCGAGGAAUUGCAUCGGAAACUGUUUUUCUUGAGUGCAGAAGAGGAGAGUAGAGCUCCAUGUGUAGCGGUGGAAUGCGUAGAUAUAUGGAAGAAUACCAGUGGCGAAGGCGGCUCUCUGGUCUGCAACUGACGCUGAGGCUCGAAAGCAUGGGUAGCGAACAGGAUUAGAUACCCUGGUAGUCCAUGCCGUAAACGAUGAGUGCUAAGUGUUGGGAGGCUUCCGCCUCUCAGUGCUGCAGCUAACGCAUUAAGCACUCCG
rnacentral:rRNA from 1 species